rnacentral:rRNA from 1 species
GUAGGUGGCAAGCGUUGUCCGGAAUUAUUGGGCGUAAAGCGCGCGCAGGCGGUUCUUUAAGUCUGAUGUGAAAGCCCACGGCUCAACCGUGGAGGGUCAUUGGAAACUGGAGAACUUGAGUACAGAAGAGGAAAGCGGAAUUCCACGUGUAGCGGUGAAAUGCGUAGAGAUGUGGAGGAACACCAGUGGCGAAGGCGGCUUUCUGGUCUGUAACUGACGCUGAGGCGCGAAAGCGUGGGGAGCAAACAGGGAUUAGAUACCCUGGUAGUCCACGCCGUAAACGAUGAGUGCUAAGUGUAGGGGGUUUUCCGCCCCCUUAGUGCUGCAGCUAACGCAUUCAGCACUCCGCCCUGGGAGUACGGCCGCAAGGCUG